rnacentral:rRNA from 1 species
CCUACGGGUGGCAGCAGUGGGGAAUAUUGCGCAAUGGGCGAAAGCCUGACGCAGCGACGCCGCGUGUGGGAUGAAGGUCUUCGGAUCGUAAACCUCUGUCAGCAGGGAAGAACGGUCACUGUGCUAAUCAGCAGAGAAUUGACGGUACCUGCAAAGGAAGCACCGGCUAACUCCGUGCCAGCAGCCGCGGUAAUACGGAGGGUGCGAGCGUUAAUCGGAAUUACUGGGCGUAAAGCGUUCGUAGGCGGUAUGUCAAGUCAGUGGUGAAAUCCCCGCGCUCAACGUGGGAAAGGCCUUUGAAACUGACAAACUAGAGUGUGUGAGAGGAUAGUGGAAUUCCAGGUGUAGGAGUGAAAUGCGUAGAUAUCUGGAGGAACAUCAGUGGCGAAGGCGACUAUCUGGCACAUAACUGACGCUGAGGAGCGAAAGCGUGGGUAGCAAACAGGAUUAGAUACCCCAGUAGUC